ACAGGUUGAGCAAUCAGUAUUAGGGUUCAGAGUCAUGGAGGAAAGAAAGAGGUGGAGAGAAAGCUUACUUUGGAACAGUGGUUUUCAACUUUGGCUGCAUACUGAAAUAACCUGGGCAGCUCUAAAAAGUACUGAUGUCUAGGUCUCACCCUCAGAGACUCUUAAUUUAAUUGCCUUGGUAUGUUGCUAGUGAAUUGAGUUUCAAAAGCUCUCCAGCUGAUAUUAAUGUGCAGCUAAGAUUGAAAACCUCUGCUCUAGAGUUUAAAAAGGCCAAUAUUGUUUUAGGAAAACAGGUGAAGAAUAUUAGUUAGAAUUCUUCAACUUCUCAGGGUCCAAAGUAUACUUGAGUGAAGAAGUGAAAACUUGUAGAGAAGAAAACAGGUUAGGACAAGAAGUUACUUAGACUUGGGCCAGCAGGUGAUAUCAUUUUUACAAGGUGAAGAUGAGAAGAAAGAAGAAUGAAAUAGUUAAAAGAAGCAUAAACUGGACCUGAAGGCAGAAUCAUAAUUCAAAGUUCAGGUAGCUGAUCUAGGAAUGCAGCCUGAAGAAAUCAGCACCUCCUAGAUACAGAAUGAACAGAAGGGCUCAGAAGAAAUAUGAGGACAAAUAGGUAUGCUAGACUGAGGCAGAAGAGGCUUGAAUAUUGACUUCAUCUUUUAAGAUAACUCCCCAGGUAAGACAUGAUUCCAAGCAAUGGAGGAAGAACUUCAUCAGAAAAUGAAGUAGUGGAUAUGUCAGCUGACAAGGGAGGGACACAUAGGUGUGAAUAAGAGGUUGGAGUUUAAAGUAUUUUGUGUCUUCUGAAGCCUUUUAUUUAUACCUGUUCUAAUUUAUAGGGUCUUACUUUUUCUUCAUCAAUACCGUAACUUCCAUAUAAAAGGAAGUGGUGAAGCUAUAACUUCCGUGGACGUAAUUCAACAAAUUACUGCUGGAUGCAGUGGCUCACCCAUUUUGGGAGGCCAAGGCAGGAGGAUCACUUGAGUCUAGGAGUUUGAUACCAGCCCAGGCAACAUAGCAAGACUCCAUCUCUAAAAAAAAAAAAAAAUUAGCUGGACAUGGUGGCAUGCACCUGUAGUCUCAGUUACUUAGGAGGCUGGGGUGAGAGGAUCACUUGAGCCUGGGUGGUUGAGUCUGCAGUGAGCCAUGAUCAUGCCACUGCACUCCAACCUGGACAACAUAGUGAGACGCUGUCUUAAAAAAAAAAGAUAAAAAACCCACACAAAUUACUUGCCCACCCCCAAAGUUUGGGCUUUUUGCCACCUCUGCCCUGAAGUUUAACAGUGAAGCAAUUCUUUAGUACAUUCACAGAAAGCCUCUGGGUAUCAGUUUGUUCUUUUAGCCCAACAUUUGAGGAUAUGAGCUUAUCAUGUCCUCUCUUAUCUACUUAAUGCCACUGAAAAAAGCACCACACCAGGUCUUCAUGUUUUCAUACUUUCUUUGUUGCAGUGUGGCCUUCUGCAUCUUGCCUUCAAUGCUGUGGCCCCUCCUUAGGACCAAUUUUUGUUUUUCAGGUUUUCUAGUCACAAGCAAUAAAACUAAACCAAAUUUAAGCUGAAAAUGAGUUGAUUGGAAGAGAAAUUAUAGAAGCAAUAGAAGUGCUGACGAAUUAAGCUUAGAAAUGGCAAGAGGUAAGGCCACUUGCAGUGGUAAACAGCCUAGAUCAUGCCUUAGAACAGCCUGAGUACUGCUUGAGGCUUCCCAGUCUCUGUUUGCUUAUUGGAGGUGACAUGGUUUUGGUCUAGGCCUCCAACAUAGAUUCCAGCCUGGAAGAGCGCCUUCACCAGAAACCGACCAUGCUGGCACCCUGAUAUGAGACAUCUGGCCUUCAGAUCUUUGGGAAAUAAAUUUCUGUUGUUUAUAAGC
rnacentral:lncRNA from 1 species